AUAAACCUACGGUGGUCUCCUCCAAAAAAUCACACAAUUCUCCUUCUUCCAAGUCUCUCUCUAACCCUCAUAACCAAUCUGUUUUUUGUUUCUUCCCUCACAAUAUCAUUAUGAUGACGUCGAUGAUCAGCGCCUUCGAUGCUCUCAGCUUCGAACCCUUCUGCCAGAAAUUGAAGCUCUCCUUGGUUCCAUCUCUCAGGGAAAAGACGGCUCCGAAAGAGGCGAUGGUGAUAAAGAAGGAAGAGAAGGAAAGGAGCAAUACUUUGCCGCCGCCGCCGCAGUCGCCGCCGUCGCAGCAGAAGCAGCGGCGGCCGGAGGAGAAAAGGUCUAGGUUCGCGCCGGAGUUGGAUGGAUUGCACUGUUUUGAAACGAUUGUGCGUUAUUGAGUAGAGAAAUUGUAAAGAAAAACGAUCCGCAGAUAAAUUUUGGAAUCAUUUCGUAGAAAUGAUAUUAAAUUAACAUUCUUUUUAUUACUA